GCCAUAUCUCAACAGAGGAAACCAUGAAGCAGGACCUCAGAUGCUAAGGACUUCCCAGAGGAGGGAGAGGAUUUUGUUAUUGUCUGAAGAAAAAGUUACCCUAGAUAACCUUCUGGUGUGUGGUAAGAGGAUCAAUAGCCAGGGGGAAAAUCCAAGUGGGCUAUCUGGCUCUGAACCAUCCUGAUGAACACCAGAGGCAGGCUUGAAAGAGCAAAGGCAGCACCAUAUGGCAGCCUCCCAGGAGCUGCUUUUCUUCUGCUGCAAAACGUCUGAAACAAGUGGAAGAAGAGCCCAAACAGGGCUUUGGAGUUGCACAGGCCUGAAUUUGACGUCUGACCACACUACUCGUGAGCUCUGGACCUGAGAGCAGGUUCGC